rnacentral:rRNA from 1 species
AUUGAACGCUGGCGGCAGGCCUAACACAUGCAAGUCGAGCGAGCGGCGGACGGGUGAGUGAUGUAUGGGGUCUCUCCGAUAGGGGGGGAGAACUACAGGGAAAGGUGGCUAAUACCGCAUACUACCGGAUAGCGCCUAUGGGAUUAGCUAGUAGGUGAGGUAAUGGCUCACCUAGGCGACGAUCCCUAGCUGGUCUGAGAGGAGGAUCAGCCACACGGGAACUGAGACACGGCCCAGACUCCUACGGAGGCAGCAGUGGGGAAUAUUGCACAAUGGGCGCAAGCCUGAUGCAGCCAUGCCGCGUGUAUGAAGAAGGCCCUAGGGUUGUAAAGUACUUUCAGUCGGGAGGCGUUACCGACAGAAGAAGCACCGGCUAACUCCGUGCCAGCAGCCGCGGUAAUAC